UACAGAGGUCUCAAGCGUUGUUCGGAUUCAUUGGGCGUAAAGGGUGCGUAGGCGGGUUCUUAAGUCAGAGGUGAAAUCCUGGAGCUCAACUCCAGAACUGCCUUUGAUACUGAGAGUCUUGAGUACGGGAGAGGUGAGUGGAACUGCGAGUGUAGAGGUGAAAUUCGUAGAUAUUCGCAAGAACACCAGUGGCGAAGGCGGCUCACUGGCCCGUUACUGACGCUGAGGCACGAAAGCGUGGGGAGCAAACAGG
rnacentral:rRNA from 1 species